UUCUAGGUUUUUCCGGGGAUCUAGGGAACCCGGCGGCCGUUCUCCCGGGAAUCCUCGCGGAUUGUCCAUCCAAGCUGCUGCUUUCUAGGUUUGUUGUGUUUCGGGAGGUCGAGAAGGCCGAAUCUCAAGGAGACGGCCAAAGAUUCCCCUGUCUAACUGUGCAAGCUUGUUUUUUCUCUCUCGUCUUUACUGAGUUUGCUGGUGCAGGUUUGUUGUUGAGUUUCGUCUCUUAGCUCCGCUGUGAACGCUUUUUCCAGUGAUGAAGACCAGAUCAUCUCCAGGAAUUCUCUCAGGGGGUAUCGAUCGAGUGAAGACUACAUAUCCAUAUGUAGCAGUUAAAAAAGCAGACAGAGAGCAUGGAGGAUAUCCAAUGGACAGGUUUUGCUAUGAAAGAAAUAGGUAACUUUUCCCCCUUACCUAAAGGGUGUGCGUUUGGAAGAGGCACAGCAGGCAUAUCAACAGAAGAAACCAAAUAUCCGGUUUUUACCAAAUGGUGCUAAAACAGAAUUUAGUAAAGCAACUAAAGGCAUGUUUUGGGUCACUGUUGGACGGUAAGUUCUCUUUUUGUUUCUCUUCUUUAAUUUUAGUCUUUUCUUUUUCAGAAAUU